rnacentral:lncRNA from 1 species
CGAUUUAAAAAAUGGAAUUGAAAGCUUAAAGAUACGAGCAACACAAAGAUCCAUCAGAUCAUCAAUGCAAAGUUGCAAAGAAGUAAACUCGGAAAUUUGUAAACAUUAGAAAAACAAUAUAGCAACUUUAAGAUAAUUUAGAAACACGUUGUGAUAGCUCACUUGCAAAAUUAGUUGUCUGCAAUAACAAAAGAGAACUAAUCUAUAAAAAAUGUGAACUUUGUUUAACAUCUUCCAUAAAAGAUAGCAAAAUCAUGUUAACACAACAUUAUAAUAACUCACCAUUCUCAUGGCAUCACCAAAACUUCUUUGAGAAACUGUUCAAAUAAUGCCAUCAUAUAUAUGAUGAUUUAAUGCUGAAACAAAAUUAAGAAACAAAUUGAGAAAUAAUUGUCUAGUACUUGACUUGUAUCAAAUAUUGAUCUUGGCAUAUAAUGAUAUUUUCAACAUGCUCACACAGCUGUUCCCUAUACCAACUCUAUACAACUAUGAUAUUCAAGAAUGCCUUAUCAAUACAUUCAAUUCAUAGUUAUUCAUGUGUAUGGUGGUUCUACUGGAUCAAAACAAAAAGGUACCUUAAUCUGAUUCAGGGCCGACAACUUCAAACCAAUCAUGUCUAAAACCUUUACACAAGUGGUAAUAGGUCAUCCAUGCUUGUUCGAUGCCGAAGGCUACAAUCAUAUCAUGGGUCAGAAGAGGACAAAAAGGUCAACUAACAGGUUAAAUAUGAAGACCCUAAAUACUAAUACUCACCAAGAUUACACUAUCGCGAUAUUCAUUAAUUUGAAUGUUUGACUGCACAUAAUAAUCUCCAAUCUUAAGGGAACCAAUAUCUAACUUUUGGAACCAAAUAUGAAAUGAAAUGUCCUCAGUAUAAAAAAGACUAUACAUAGUAAAUCAAAUAUGAGCUACUAACAAGUUUAACAGCUGAGAAUCAAAGGAUUAUGUUUCUAAUUGAAUUUAUAUCAUUGAACCAAGUGCGAUUUCAAAAUCGAUGCUGAAAAGGUUUUAAGACAGGUUGCUCAGCAUGUAAAAAUUAGGUUCUCCAUCUACCUGAAAAGCAGGCGUCUGGAUGCUAGCAUAAUCAUCCUCACUAUCACCGUCUUCACUGCACUCUUCUGAAACUGUGAACCCGUCCUUACGCAUAAUACUAUGCGUAUAAGAAGGGUUAAAGGGACAUACACUUCCACUGUCCAUAUUCCACAAUACACUGCACCUGGAAGCAAUAACAAAACUUUCAGCAUUUGUAGACGGGAAGUUGAACUUUUUAUUGAAAAAUUCACAAUAUAUAUAUAUAUAUAUACAAUAUACAAAUGUGAACAACAAAGCAUCCUUAUUAAUGUAUGACCUAAGUAAUCUUUCAAACUUACAUUCAAGCCUGUAACACAUGACUUUUCAUGUACAGUGACUUUAUACAAGUAACUAUGCAACUUAAACAUUUUAGAACAUAGUGAACUAAUGUGGCAGUUAGAUCUUUCUGAGGUUCCCUCUGCUCAUUCUUCAAAGUUCAAUGGAAAAAGAUAUUGUCACGAACCAAUCUCGGAUCAUGACCGGCGCACAGGCUAACACUAACUAACCCCGUAUUUAGCCUGGCAAGCCUAAUACACUAUAACUAUACCUAUUUAGAUCAUAGAAUUACUGAAAUUAUAGCUCGACAGAGAGGAUCCCUGGUCCUACGUAUCCCUAAAUGAUUAGGGAAUCAGAGCCACGUAGUUCUCUAAGUGUUGGUUAACUAUCAACAAAGUAAAAAAAAUUAUUUCAUUUCAUUAUGUACACAUAGACCACAUUAUCUCUUCGUUGUGGUGAACGGAUACCUAUACCACAUUAUCUCUUCGUUGUGGUGAACGGAUACCUAUACCACAUUAUCUCUUCGUUGUGGCCAACGGCUAUACCACAUUAUCUCUUCGUUGUGGUGAACGGAUAAUACCACAUUAUCUCUUCGUUGUGGCGAACGGCUAUACCACAUUAUCUCUUCGUUGUGGUGAACGGAUAUACCACAUUAUCUCUUCGUUGUGGCGAACGGCUACCUAUACNNNNNNNNNNNNNNNNNNNNNNNNNNNNNNNAUCUUUGUAUUCCAAAUAAAGCAUCAAAAUAUCACUUUAAAACAAUUUGAACAAAACCACUAAUUUUAUCCUUUAAAUAUCCAAACAGAACUAAGUGAACUAAUGUAAAAUGGAGGGAAAAUAUAGUCUCUGAGCAUCAUUAGUGAGUUAUUGCUUACUAGUAGCUAACUAUGACUUCAUACUUGUCAUUCUCUAUAAAUUUCAAAAUAAUACCAAUAGUUCCAAAACAGUCCCAAAACUAUUCACAUAUCAAAUGACAUGAAAUUUCAACUAGAUUAUAAUUAACUCAUAACAAAUUUAUGAAUCUAACAUACCCUGAUCUCUACUUUGAAGUCUCUAAUCAUAAUUUCGUAUAAAGCUUGGGGUAGAUUUCUUAACAUUUCCACACAUGCAAUUUCUCAUAUCUAUUAUUCAAAAACUCUAUUUUCUAUCAAAACUAAACUUAAUAAGAACUCACCUUAGUUAUGUGAGGAUGACUUAUUAUGGAAAAACUUAAUGAUAAGGAUGACCAUGGAGUUCUUUGAGCUUUGUGGGUUUUAAAACCCUCUUUUCUUUUACAAAUUCAGAUCUUGAAGCUUUAUGCUCUAAUUUCCUUCUAGUGAAUCUACUAGCUAGUGAGAUACUCAAAUGAAACUUGCUCUUCAAUAACAAAUUACAUGCAAUGAUGAUUAUAAGAGGAAAUUUGAUGAAAUAGAAAGUAUGGAGAGUUUGAGUUCGGUGGUACAGAAGAAGGGUGAAGAAAAAUGAAUAAAUUCUCUAUUCUUCUUCAUUUUGGUUCCCAAUUAAAACCCCUAAUUUAAUCUUUACCCCACAGCUUCUUCUAUCUUUUCCAUUGAAUCUUCUAAUUACCCAUUGAAACUCAAACUACCACUUGAUUUUUGCAUGCAAGACUCUNN